ACGUACACUCCUGCGGGAGGCAGCAGUGGGGAAUUUUACGCAAUGGGGGAAACCCUGACGUAGCGACACCGCGUGAGCGAAGAAGCCCUUUGGGGUGUAAAGCUCUGUCAGCUGGAACGAAAACAAUGACGGUACCAGCAGAGGAAGCAUCGGCUAACUACGUGCCAGCAGCCGCGGUAAGACGUAGGAUGCGAGCGUUGUCCGGAUUUAUUGGGCGUAAAGAGUUCGUAGGUGGUUUGUUAAGUUUGGUGUUAAAGAUCGGGGCUCAACCCUGGGACUGCACUGAAUACUGGCAGACUCGAGUGUGGUAGAGGCUAGUGGAAUUCCCAGUGUAGCGGUGAAAUGCGUAGAUAUUGGGAAGAACACCGGUGGCGUAGGCGACUAGCUGGGCCAUAACUGACGCUGAGGAACGAAAGCCAGGGGAGCGAAUGGGAUUAGAAACCCCUGUAGUCCCAUGA
rnacentral:rRNA from 1 species